rnacentral:rRNA from 1 species
GCGAGAAAACUUUGCAAUGUGCGAAAGCACGACAAGGUUAAUCCGAGUGGUUUCUGCUAAAGGAACCUUUUGUCAGUCCUAGAAACACUGAUGAAUAAGGGGUGGGCAAGUUCUGGUGUCAGCCGCCGCGGUAAAACCAGCACCUCAAGUGGUCAGGAUGAUUAUUGGGCCUAAAGCAUCCGUAGCCUGCUUUGUAAGUUUUCGGUUAAAUCCAUACGCUCAACGUAUGGGCUGCCGGGAAUACUGCAAAGCUAGGGAGUGGGAGAGGUAGACGGUACUCGGUAGGAAGGGGUAAAAUCCUUUGAUCUAUUGAUGACCACCUGUGGCGAAGGCGGUCUACCAGAACACGUCCGACGGUGAGGGAUGAAAGCUGGGGGAGCAAACCGG